AACGUUUUGGUCAGCCACACAAAAUCACGAAUGCCUACAUGCAAGCCCUGUUAGACCUUCCCGCACAACAAUACAACCUUAUCAGCCUCCGUAAUUAUUACAAAACAGAGAACUGAUCACGUUAUAGAGUUUCAUGAAAAUAGAAGGGACAACAGAAUCAACAUCCGUGUCGGAGAUAUUGUACAAGUUUAUGACGAAAAACCACGAACUCGGUGGAAAAAAGCAAUUUUCCCAGAUCGUCAAACUUUAUCCGCUAGAGAUCAACAAAGAGGACCUACCAAAUACAGCAGAUGAGACGAAUGAAGUUGAUACCAGAAGAACAGUGCCUAUGCCAGUAUGCGAAAAACAUCUUAAAACUUAUACAAAUUCUUAAACAUUAAUUUUGUGUUCGAUUUGAAAAUCGUUAUAGAGACUGUUAAUUUUCAAUUUUGUCAUAGUGAUUUCAAGAGACAGUAAUUGCCCAUCAUAUUUUUUCGUUUCAUAUAUGGACAUUUAAAGAAAUAUUUGAAUUUCAUACAAAGAUAUACUUUUGCGGCCCCCCAGUAUGUUGAGAAUAUUAUGCAAACGUUAACGUUAUGUUUCCCGUAUUUACGUCUUAUGUUUAUGACGUUACUUUGUACCUUUGUGUGGGCGC
rnacentral:lncRNA from 1 species